GUAACCACGGAGACCAAAGCCGUGUUCUGACUGGUCGGCGCAUUAUGCGCUGGGUGGAGUCAAUGCAGCACAUCGUACUAAUUUGAGAAUCAGUUCACAUCUCUAUUCACAGAGAACCGACCGCAGGAUGUCUGCAACAAACUGUUCAGAGCUGGAGCUGGAGCUGGGAGACUUACUGCAGGAGUUUAAUGAUGUUGUGAAGGAGCUCAGCACACCCCAGGCCUCUGAACAUGUGCUGAGAGAUGUGAAGAGACACACAGGACUGACUGAUGGAGACGAUUCAGACUACUGUAGCGAGGCUUCGCUGGUAAACAGCUUGAAUGCCAGUCAAGAGGAGCUCAACAUCCCAAGCAUAACCACAGCCCCAAAAGCCAGGCUCAGGGAUACCAGUGACCUACAGAGCUUCAUUGAAGACCUGGAUAGAGAGCUUGCAGAGAUGUGAGAUGACGGGACACACGUAAUCAGAGAGGACUGAGCACCUGAAGAGCUGGCAUUUAGCUUCCACGCAUAGAAAAACACAGCUUGAAGGCCUCAUUUUUUCCCCUUCACUAAGAAAAAAAGCUCACGGUUUGGAAGAAUUACCAAGUUUCUCAGAAGAUGUUUUAUUUAAAAAAUACAACAUUUAUAUGAAAAGCACAAUUCCUUGUAAGUUAUGAAGAUUUAUUGUUAAUAGCUAUUUUUCACUUUUUUUUUAUGAAGAAUGUAAAAAUAUCAGUGCUACCCGG
rnacentral:lncRNA from 1 species